GUUAGGAUAGCAAAGUUUGGAUUUGCGAAAGGCCUAAGCCCUUUCCACAGAGGUUCAAAUCCUCUUCUUAACU
rnacentral:tRNA from 1 species